rnacentral:rRNA from 1 species
UGGGGAACCUGCCCCAUAGUCUGGGAUACCACUUGGAAACAGGUGCUAAUACCGGAUAAGAAAGCAGAUCGCAUGAUCAGCUUUUAAAAGGCGGCGUAAGCUGUCGCUAUGGGAUGGCCCCGCGGUGCAUUAGCUAGUUGGUAAGGUAAAGGCUUACCAAGGCGAUGAUGCAUAGCCGAGUUGAUAGACUGAUCGGCCACAUUGGGACUGAGACACGGCCCAAACUCCUACGGGAGGCAGCAGGG